rnacentral:rRNA from 1 species
GGGUUGUGAGGUUAAGCGACUAAGCGUACACGGUGGAUGCCCUGGCAGUCAGAGGCGAUGAAGGACGUGCUAAUCUGCGAAAAGCGUCGGUAAGGUGAUAUGAACCGUUAUAACCGGCGAUGUCCGAAUGGGGAAACCCAGUGUGAUUCGUCACACUAUCGUUAACUGAAUACAUAGGUUAACGAGGCGAACCGGGGGAACUGAAACAUCUAAGUACCCCGAGGAAAAGAAAUCAACCGAGAUUCCCCCAGUAGCGGCGAGCGAACGGGGAGCAGCCCAGAGUCUGAAUCAGCUUGUGUGUUAGUGGAACGGUCUGGAAAGUCCGACGGUACAGGGUGAUAGUCCCGUACACCAAAAUGCACAGGUUGUGAACUCGAAGAGUAGGGCGGGACACGUGGUAUCCUGUCUGAAUAUGGGGGGACCAUCCUCCAAGGCUAAAUACUCCUGACUGACCGAUAGUGAACCAGUACCGUGAGGGAAAGGCGAAAAGAACCCCGGCGAGGGGAGUGAAAAAGAACCUGAAACCGUGUACGUACAAGCAGUGGGAGCACCUUCGGGUGUGACUGCGUACCUUUUGUAUAAUGGGUCAGCGACUUAUAUUCUGUAGCAAGGUUAACCGUAUAGGGGAGCCGCAGGGAAACCGAGUCUUAACUGGGCGUUAAGUUGCAGGGUAUAGACCCGAAACCCGGUGAUCUAGCCAUGGGCAGGUUGAAGGUUGGGUAACACUAACUGGAGGACCGAACCGACUAAUGUUGAAAAAUUAGCGGAUGACUUGUGGCUGGGGGUGAAAGGCCAAUCAAACCGGGAGAUAGCUGGUUCUCCCCGAAAGCUAUUUAGGUAGCGCCUCGUGAAUUCAUCUUCGGGGGUAGAGCACUGUUUCGGCUAGGGGGUCAUCCCGACUUACCAACCCGAUGCAAACUACGAAUACCGAAGAAUGUUAUCACGGGAGACACACGGCGGGUGCUAACGUCCGUCGUGAAGAGGGAAACAACCCAGACCGCCAGCUAAGGUCCCAAAGUCAUGGUUAAGUGGGAAACGAUGUGGGAAGGCACAGACAGCCAGGAUGUUGGCUUAGAAGCAGCCAUCAUUUAAAGAAAGCGUAAUAGCUCACUGGUCGAGUCGGCCUGCGCGGAAGAUGUAACGGGGCUAAACCAUGCACCGAAGCUGCGGCAGCGACACUUAUGUGUUGUUGGGUAGGGGAGCGUUCUGUAAGCCUGCGAAGGUGGCCUGUGAGGGUUGCUGGAGGUAUCAGAAGUGCGAAUGCUGACAUAAGUAACGAUAAAGCGGGUGAAAAGCCCGCUCGCCGGAAGACCAAGGGUUCCUGUCCAACGUUAAUCGGGGCAGGGUGAGUCGACCCCUAAGGCGAGGCCGAAAGGCGUAGUCGAUGGGAAACAGGUUAAUAUUCCUGUACUUGGUGUUACUGCGAAGGGGGGACGGAGAAGGCUAUGUUAGCCGGGCGACGGUUGUCCCGGUUUAAGCAUGUAGGCGGAGGUUCCAGGUAAAUCCGGUACCUUUUAACGCUGAGGUGUGAUGACGAGGCACUACGGUGCUGAAGUAACAAAUGCCCUGCUUCCAGGAAAAGCCUCUAAGCAUCAGGUAACAUUAAAUCGUACCCCAAACCGACACAGGUGGUCAGGUAGAGAAUACCAAGGCGCUUGAGAGAACUCGGGUGAAGGAACUAGGCAAAAUGGUGCCGUAACUUCGGGAGAAGGCACGCUGGUGUGUAGGUGAAGUCCCUGCGGAUGGAGCUGAGACCAGUCGAAGAUACCAGCUGGCUGCAACUGUUUAUUAAAAACACAGCACUGUGCAAACACGAAAGUGGACGUAUACGGUGUGACGCCUGCCCGGUGCCGGAAGGUUAAUUGAUGGGGUUAUCCGUAAGGAGAAGCUCUUGAUCGAAGCCCCGGUAAACGGCGGCCGUAACUAUAACGGUCCUAAGGUAGCGAAAUUCCUUGUCGGGUAAGUUCCGACCUGCACGAAUGGCGUAAUGAUGGCCAGGCUGUCUCCACCCGAGACUCAGUGAAAUUGAACUCGCUGUGAAGAUGCAGUGUACCCGCGGCAAGACGGAAAGACCCCGUGAACCUUUACUAUAGCUUGACACUGAACAUUGAGCCUUGAUGUGUAGGAUAGGUGGGAGGCUUUGAAGCGUGGACGCCAGUCUGCGUGGAGCCAACCUUGAAAUACCACCCUUUAAUGUUUGAUGUUCUAACGUUGGCCCCUUAUCGGGGUUGCGGACAGUGUCUGGUGGGUAGUUUGACUGGGGCGGUCUCCUCCCAAAGAGUAACGGAGGAGCACGAAGGUUAGCUAAUCCUGGUCGGACAUCAGGAGGUUAGUGCAAUGGCAUAAGCUAGCUUGACUGCGAGCGUGACGGCGCGAGCAGGUGCGAAAGCAGGUCAUAGUGAUCCGGUGGUUCUGAAUGGAAGGGCCAUCGCUCAACGGAUAAAAGGUACUCCGGGGAUAACAGGCUGAUACCGCCCAAGAGUUCAUAUCGACGGCGGUGUUUGGCACCUCGAUGUCGGCUCAUCACAUCCUGGGGCUGAAGUAGGUCCCAAGGGUAUGGCUGUUCGCCAUUUAAAGUGGUACGCGAGCUGGGUUUAGAACGUCGUGAGACAGUUCGGUCCCUAUCUGCCGUGGGCGCUGGAGAAUUGAGGGGGGCUGCUCCUAGUACGAGAGGACCGGAGUGGACGCAUCACUGGUGUUCGGGUUGUCAUGCCAAUGGCACUGCCCGGUAGCUAAAUGCGGAAGAGAUAAGUGCUGAAAGCAUCUAAGCACGAAACUUGCCCCGAGAUGAGUUCUCCCUGAGACUAUAAGUCUCCUGAAGGAACGUUGAAGACGACGACGUUGAUAGGCCGGGUGUGUAAGCGCAGCGAUGCGUUGAGCUAACCGGUACUAAUGAACCGUGAGGCUUAACCUUACAACGCCGAAGCUGUU